rnacentral:tRNA from 1 species
GUAUUUAUAAAUAUAUAUAUAUAUAUAAAUUAAUUUAUUAAUUAUUAAUUUAAAUAUUAUAUUAAAUAAUUUAAUAUAUU